GCCCGGGUAGUCCUGUUGGCAGCCUGCCCCUAUGCAGCUUUUGGCAAUACAAAACAGCUUCUUGGGGCUUCCACGUGGGAAGGCUGUAACAGACAGACAGCAGCCACGAUGAUACACGCUGAAAACAGCCAGCAGAAAAAAUGAGGAGAGAGUGGUAUGACGGAGUGGAAUUCCGGUUGUGGAUGACAGAAUGGAAAUUAUGCGCAAGAUGAAAGA
rnacentral:lncRNA from 1 species